rnacentral:lncRNA from 1 species
CCUGACGCUCUUUUCAGUUAACGGCAAGGCGGUGCACCCAAGUCCGGUGGUGUCCUACCUGGUGACCUCCUACCUGUGCUGGGACGCCAGCGACUUGAUGCUGCACUCCGCAGGGCGCAGCGAGGCGGACAUCCAAACAGCGGAACUCAGACGCUGACUCCGAGCGCACCCCGGGCCUUCCCAUUUCAUACACCCUCGAGGAUGAGACCCAAGCACCUCCAAGGAAUAGCACCCGAGGUCUUCAGGACACCGACCGGUAGCCAUGGCCAGAUGCCCGGCCAACCCCUUCAGCGUGGCCACGCCCUGGAUAUUCGACCUCCCCUGAGGCCCCACCCCCUGAUAUCAGGCCACGCCCUCCGAGGGGACCGGUGGCAAACUCCAGCCCUCGCUCUAGGGCCCGCCCUUUGCGGCUUUGUCCCUGCCCACUGGGUCCUCACAGUACCUCCACCCCAGAGGCCCAGCAUCCCCUCCCGUUCUGCAGACACUUGUCCAGCGUCCCGCUGAGCUCGGCAGUGUGGCUAGUUUGUGUGGCCCUGCCCCUGGUGCCCAGCC